rnacentral:lncRNA from 1 species
AAGGCUAUCUUCCCUUAUUACCCUUUAUACCCUUUAUAUAAUUGUCUGCAUGUUGUUCAAGAGGAAGAAGAAAGAGAACAAGGAGUGGAGGAUUUCUGCAGGAAAGAGUUUGCUUACUGUGUAUGUGAGUUUGUUAUAGACGACGAGUCGGUGGUGCUCAAUUUGUAUAACGACAAUGAGAUAGAUCUGAGAUAGAUCUGGUUGUUGAAAGACCUGAGUAUUUUU